UACGUAGGGGGCUAGCGUUGUCCGGAAUUACUGGGCGUAAAGCGUGCGCAGGCGGUUCGCUGUGUCCUGUGUGAAAGCCCCGGGCUUAACCUGGGAAUGGCAUGGGAAACUGGCGAGCUUGAGUGCGGCAGAGGGGGGUGGAAUUCCGCGUGUAGCAGUGAAAUGCGUAGAGAUGCGGAGGAACACCGAUGGCGAAGGCAGCCCCCUGGGUCGACACUGACGCUCAGGCACGAAAGCGUGGGGAGCGAACAGG
rnacentral:rRNA from 1 species